GUAGGUGGGCAAGCGUUGUCCGGAAUUAUUGGGCGUAAAGCGCGCGCAGGGCGGUCCUUUAAGUCUGAUGUGAAAGCCCACGGCUCAACCGUGGAGGGUCAUUGGAAACUGGGGGACUUGAGUACAGAAGAGGAAAGCGGAAUUCCGAGUGUAGCGGUGAAAUGCGUAGAGAUUUGGAGGAACACCAGUGGCGAAGGCGGCUUUCUGGUCUGUAACUGACGCUGGGGCGCGAAAGCGUGGGGAGCAAACAGGAUUAGAUACCCUGGUAGUCCACGCCGUAAACGAUGAGUGCUAAGUGUUAGGGGGUUUCCGCCCCUUAGUGCUGCAGCUAACGCAUUAAGCACUCCGCCUGGGGAGUACGGCCGCAAAGGCUG
rnacentral:rRNA from 1 species